rnacentral:piRNA from 1 species
GGAAAUGAGUUUGAACUGAAAAAA